rnacentral:misc_RNA from 1 species
GAUGAAGAACACAGCGAAAUGCGAUAAGUAGUGUGAAUUGCAGAAUUCAGUGAAUCAUCGAAUCUUUGAACGCACAUUGCGCCCUUUGGUAUUCCAAAGGGCAUGCCUGUUCGAGCGUCAUUUGUACCCUCAAGCUUUGCUUGGUGUUGGGCGUCUUGUCUCUAGCUUUGCUGGAGACUCGCCUUAAAGUAAUUGGCAGCCGGCCUACUGGUUUCGGAGCGCAGCACAAGUCGCACUCUCUAUCAGCAAAGGUCUAGCAUCCAUUAAGCCUUUUUUUCAACUUUUGACCUCGGAUCAGGUAGGGAUACCCGCUGAACUUAAGCAUAUCAAUAAGCGGAGGA